GACGAACGCUGGCGGCGUGCCUAACACAUGCAAGUCGAACGGUAAGGCCCUGCUUUUGUGGGGUGCUCGAGUGGCGAACGGGUGAGUAACACGUGAGUAACCUGCCCUUGACUUUGGGAUAACUUUAGGAAACUGGGGCUAAUACCGGAUAGGAGCUCCUGUUGCAUGGUGGUGGUUGGAAAGUUUCGGCGGUUGGGGAUGGACUCGCGGCUUAUCAGCUUGUUGGUGGGGUAGUGGCUUACCAAGGCGUUGACGGUUAGCCGGCCUGAGAGUGUGACCGGCCACAUUGGGCCUGAGGUACGGCCCGGACUCCUACGGGAGGCAGCAGUGGGAAAUAUUGCACAAUGGGCGGAAGCCUGAUGCAGCAACGCCGCGUGCGAAAUGACUGCCUUCGGGUUGUAACCCGCUUUCGCCUGUAACGAAGCGUGAGUGACGGUAAUGGAUAAAAAAGCACCGGCUAACUACGUG
rnacentral:rRNA from 1 species